rnacentral:lncRNA from 1 species
AUUGGCUUAGCUUUGGCCAGCAGCAGAUUUUUGGAGACAGAUGGAACUAGCUUUUAUAUAACAGGGGGCAGCUUCUGGACACUUCUUACAAAGGCCAUCCCUGCAGCCCCCUCUCUGCUUCCAAAACCUUGUCACAUAAGACCAACACACAGAGUGACUUUAACAUUUAAAGAUCUCUGAGCCAUGGUUUUAUUUUGUAAAAGUAGCUUCAUUUGCUUCAGAGUGCAGGACCUGAAGACCAAUUCUGUCAGCAGUCGGUGACUAACUGCUCCACGGCUGAUGGGAAAUUAUUCAUAAUUACACUGAAUAAUCAAAAAAUGUGAAGACACUUUCAUGCUUGCAGAAGCCCUAUGUCUGCAAGUGAGUGUGGAUACUACACUAAAAGCUAGUUGAGUUAUGAGUACUGGCUUCCUCAAGGAAGGCAGGAAGAAGAACUCACUCCUUUUGCAUGAACCACCAGUGUCGGAGUUAAUAGAAGGAAAGAGAAUUGCAAUCUGCUGGAAUGGAAAUUACUUAGAAGAGGUCUUACCUGACUGUAAGUAUCUACAGGGGCUUCAUCUUUUAUUCUCCUCUAAAUUAGCAGCCAACAGAUAGAUGUAUGACAUUUUGUAACCAGCUGCCUGGUGUCAUCUUUAUGUCAGGAAAAAAAAGAAGAAAUUAAUGAGUUCCUUGGAACUGGGUGAAAAAUACACUGUAACAGAGAAUAAUACUCAGCAUGGUCAGGCAAGCAUGUCCAGAAUGAUGGGAAAAAGUGCUCAAUGAAAUACCAGGUUUGAAAAUUGCCUAGCUUUCCUGGGGGAACUGCCCCUUUGACAGCAUCUCCAGUCUCAGGUGAAAAAAAGAGAUAUUCAAGGAUAUGUUCUUCACACUCUAUCUUCUUUAUAAGUGCCAGUCUGCAUAUAUUUUUCUAAACUUGUGGCAAAGAAUCCUGAGCUUUUGUUGUUAAAAUUAAAUUGACCCACAUAAACAAGUUAAGUUUGAAAUUACUCCUUUGUGGACAUUAAGUAAUGUUAGAGAUCCGUGAGAUUAUGCUAAGUAACAUUUCCUUGAGCCUGUCAGCACCUUUUUCAUCAACUACACAAGCUGUUUUUCCAGUGGACACUCUUGUACAAUACAUAUAGAAUGGGGAUUUGAGUUACAGUGUAAUGUAGAAUUACAUUUGGCACUUGGAUUAGGGCCCUUACUUCCAAUUCUCCUUUGGUUCACUAUAAAAAACAAAAGUGUGUGUCACAUCCUUUUCUCUGUUACAGAGAUUUUUGACAGGAAUAAACCAUAUUCUUCUGUUAUUCUUGUUAGCUGA